rnacentral:rRNA from 1 species
UACCGGCACCCCGAGUGGUCGGGACGAUUAUUGGGCCUAAAGCAUCCGUAGCCGGUCAUGCAAGUCCUCCGUUAAAUCCAGCCGCUUAACAGAUGGGCUGCGGAGGAUACUACAAGGCUAGGAGGCGGAAGAGGCAAGCGGUACUCAGUGGGUAGGGGUAAAAUCCUCUGAUCCAUUGAAGACCACCAGUGGCGAAGGCGGCUUGCCAAUACGCGCUCGACGGUGAGGGAUGAAAGCUGGGGGAGCAAACCGG